rfam:Candidatus Altiarchaeales archaeon A3 Ga0073111_1182, whole genome shotgun sequence.
GCGGGGGUUCCCAAGCGGUCAAAGGGGCGAGGUUCAGGGCCUCGUUGUGUAAGCAUUCGUGGGUUCAAAUCCCAUCUCCCGCA